rnacentral:rRNA from 1 species
GNAUUUAUUGGGCGUAAAGGGAGCGCAGGCGGUUUAGUAAGUCUGAAGUUAAAGGCAUUGGCUCAACCAANGUAUGCUUUGGAAACUGUUAGACUUGAGUGCAGAAGGGGAGAGUGGAAUUCCAUGUGUAGCGGUGAAAUGCGUAGAUAUAUGGAGGAACACCGGUGGCGAAAGCGGCUCUCUGGUCUGUCACUGACGCUGAGGCUCGAAAGCGUGGGUAGCGAACAGGAUUAGAUACCCUGGUAGUCCACGCCGUAAACGCUGAGUGCUAGGUGUUAGGUCCUUUCCGGGACUUAGUGCCGACGCUAACGCAUUAAGCACUCCGCCUGGGGAGUACGACCGCAAGGUUGAAACUCAAAGGAAUUGACGGGGGCCCGCACAAGCGGUGGAGCAUGUGGUUUAAUUCGAAGCAACGCGAAGAACCUUACCAGGUCUUGACAUCCCGAUGCCCGCUCUAGAGAUAGAGUUUUUCUUCGGAACAUCGGAGACAGGUGGUGCAUGGUUGUCGUCAGCUCGUGUCGUGAGAUGUUGGGUUAAGUCCCGCAACGAGCGCAACCCUUAUUGUUAGUUGCCAUCAUUAAGUUGGGCACUCUAGCGAGACUGCCGGUAAUAAACCGGAGGAAGGUGGGGAUGACGUCAAAUCAUCAUGCCCCUUAUGACAUGGGCUACACACGUGCUACAAUGGUUGGUACAACGAGUCGCAAGCCGGUGACGGCAAGCUAAUCUCUGAAAGCCAAUCUCAGUUCGGAUUGUAGGCUGCAACUCGCCUACAUGAAGUCGGAAUCGCUAGUAAUCGCGGAUCAGCACGCCGCGGUGAAUACGUUCCCGGGCCUUGUACACACCGCCCGUCACACCACGAGAGUUUGUAACACCCAAA